rnacentral:rRNA from 1 species
ACGCUCGACACCUACGGAGGCAGCAGUGGGGAAUAUUGGGCAAUGGGCGCAAGCCUGACCCAGCAACGCCGCGUGAAGGAAGAAGGCUUUCGGGUUGUAAACUUCUUUUCUCAGGGACGAAGGAAGUGACGGUACCUGAGGAACAAGCCACGGCUAACUACGUGUCAGCAGCCGCGGUAAUCUGAGCGGGCUGGCAAGGC